UAAUACGGAGGGUGCAAGCGUUAUCCGGAUUCACUGGGUUUAAAGGGUGCGUAGGUGGGCAUGUAAGUCAGUGGUGAAAUCUCCGGGCUUAACCCGGAAACUGCCAUUGAUACUAUAUGUCUUGAAUACCAUGGAGGUGAGCGGAAUAUGUCAUGUAGCGGUGAAAUGCUUAGAUAUGACAUAGAACACCAAUUGCGAAGGCAGCUCACUACGCGGUUAUUGACACUGAGGCACGAAAGCGUGGGGAUCAAACAGGAUUAGAUACCCUG
rnacentral:rRNA from 1 species